rnacentral:rRNA from 1 species
GAUGAACGCUGGCGGCGUGCCUAAUACAUGCGAGUCGAGCGAACAGAUAAGGAUCUUGCUCCUUUGACGUUAGCGGCGGACGGGUGAGUAACACGUGGGUAACCUACCUAUAAGACUGGAAUAACUCCGGGAAACCGGGGCUAAUGCCGGAUAACAUUUAGAACCGCAUGGUUCUAAAGUGAAAGAUCGUUUUGCUAUCACUUAUAGAUGGACCCGCGCCGUAUUAGCUAGUUGGUAAGGUAACGGCUUACCAAGGCAACGAUGCGUAGCCGACCUGAGAGGGUGAUGGGCCACACUGGAACUGAGACGCGGUCCAGACUCCUACGGGAGGCAGCGGUAGGGAAGCGUGCGCAAUGGGCGGAAGACUGACGGAGCGGCGCCGCGUGGGUGAUGAAGGGCUUCGGAUCGUAAAACUCUGUUAUUAGGGAAGAACAAAUGUGUAAGUAACUGUGCACGUCUUGACGGUACUUAAUCAGAAAGCAACGGCUAACUACGUG